CUGCUCAUGCGCAAACUCCUACCCCAAUAUCCGCGCCUUGAACAUGCGCAGAAUCGUCGCUGUUGGCCGCUCUCACUUCUUUUCCUCAGUCUCACUCCUCCGGCCUCCUUUCUUGCGCGUGCGUGCAACUCCUUUGCUCAGCCGCGGACGUGGAGGAACCGUGCGGUUGUGGGCUGGAGGUGCAUAGAUGACAUGUCAGUCGGUAGGUAUUUAUUCUACUGUUCUAGGAAAACAAAUAAGGGUGCAGCUUAGACGAAAAGAAACACGUUUUAUUGCCAGUGUCUAAACUCCUAAACAACGGAAUUGUGUAUGGAUACACGUGUACUUAAAACAGCCCGGUGUGUGUGUAGACACUUGCUGUAUGUCAACGCUUUACGGGAGUUAUUGCACCUAAGCCUCAGGACAACUUUAUGGGGAUGCAGACUUACAAGUGGAUUUUCCAGUAGGAUCUUAUAGCCAGCCUAUUUUUCUUGUUUUUGGCUAAUUUCUAACAGGCUUAUUAAUGUGUAUUCCUAUUCUGUCCUGCAUGGGAAUCAGAAAAUUGGACAGUAUUGUAGGUACUUAAUGAUGUAGGCAUGCUGAUAGCCACAAAGUGAGAAUUGACUGCACUACAAAAAAUGUUAAAGAAAGUAAUCCAGACGGAAGGGAAAUGAUAUCAGAUGGAAAUACAGAUCUACAUAAAGGAAUGAUGAACACUGGAAAAGGUAACUGCAGGGUAAUUCCACAAGAAAAGACAGCAUGUUUCUACAGAGAUCUGUACAGGAAUAUUCAUAGUAGCUUUAUAUUUAACAGUCUCCAAUUUGAAACAACUCAAACGUCACCAACAGAUAAAUGGAUAAAUUGUGAUAUAUUCAUAUAAUGGAAUACUACUCAGCAAUAAAAAGUGUCCCUAUGAUGCACAACACAAUUGGGCAUUAUUUACAUUGUAAUGUAUAUAAAUGGCAUUUCCUGAAGCAGGAUUAAGAAGCUACAGAAUAUAUCUUCCAGAAGGACGGGCCUAUAUCUUUUUUCUGUUGACUGCAGUGCCCAGCAAGUGUUUGACACACAAAUCACUAAGUAUUUGGAUUGGUUCCUGGAAGUGGAACUACUGUAUCAAAGAUUUGGACAUUUUUAAGACCCCAGAAAGGUAAUACAGUAUUAAAUAUUAAAUGUGAUUAUAAAUGUGAACACAUUCUUAGCAACACUAGCUAUUAACA